GGGCUGCCAAUCUCUCCCUCCCCAGCAUGCUGCUGGCCAAUUUGCACUUGCUGUUUUUCUGCUUGGAGACCUCCUCCUGCAAAAAAUCUAAAAGGGAGUCAUUCCAAGUGACCAGGUCUAGGGCUUGAAAGUGCAGGCAGCUUGAAAAUCAACUUGUCCUUUACAGAACUGCUGCUCAAUUAUAUAUCUAGAUGUGGACUUUGAAUAUACAUUGCUGGCCAAUUUUCUCUUUUUUACUGAAAACUGCCCAGAGGUUAGAAAGUUUGAAGAUGUGAAAACUCAGUUACUGUGGCUAAGUUGAAGUGUUUUUUAACACUGCUACCACCACCACCACUAACGUGAAAAGAAAAGGCUGUGGUGAUUAGUUUCCAGCAAUUUGGAGAAGAGCAUCAGUAUAAAGAUACUCUGCAAUACUGCUGCUUAAGGAAAUACCUGUGAACCCUCAAAGAUUUUGUGGGAAACCAUGUAAAAUCAGGGGUAUGGGAAGUAUUUGACUUGACUGUUUUCCACAGUCUUCCUUCAGACUAUAGUGCCUCCAAGACAAAGCUCCCUCCAGCUGCUGAGUGUUCUCCUUUUGGCAAACACUGCAGAUAACCACAAGAUCAUCCUUGAAGUCCUGCUCAUCCACAGCACUGACAAACCACCUCUUUUUAAAAUCUGCUUUUUGUCUUAUUUGAGACCAGGCUGGCUAGACUGCAGCCAGGUAGGUCUGCCACGAGGCUGACCUGUGCUCAGCCCAUUCCUGCCUCUGCCACUUUGGUCCAUCUGUCCCCAACAGGAGUGUUCAGAAAAACCCAGAGCAUCUUCUGAGGCAUGAUUUUUCUCAAGACACUGAGAGCAUUUGAGAGCACUUGAGGUCCUCCAUCCCACAGCUUCUCUGUGCCUCCCACUUGCGGCAGUGUCCUGAGCAAACAGUGGAGCUUGCUCUGCCAGAUUUGGGAUGUGAGAAGGUGUUUGUGCACUAGUCAGUCAGCCAGUGACAAUUUCAUUCCCCUGUGUGUGGCUACACAGAAGGUGUAUGGUGAUAAGUUGUGCCACUCAUGAAUCAUGCUUGUCCAUGCUGCUGCUCCGUGAAGCUUUGGUAGAAGAGAUCAAUCCCUACAUUGAGAUACAAUCUGAUAUUGAAGUUUCCAUGUAUAAUCCAAAAAUGCUUCUGUUCUCUACAUACAUCCUUGUGCUCUCUCACUGGAGGGUGUCUGUCUCAUUUGGGGGCAAAUGUAGAAAUAUUCUUUCUUUUAUAUUCACAAAAUAUAAGCUGUUGAUGAAAAUUAAUGUGUAUUUUGGAGGGCAUACAGGUAGAAAAAGCAAAUGAGAUGGGGGCUGAAAAGAAAGACAGUCAGUACCUUGUACCUUGACACCAAUCUGAGGCUGUGUGGGGAUUUGAUAUCAUUACAGAGCCUUGAGUUCCCUGAAAUUAUAAAGGAACUUCAACAAGAGAGGUCAGCAUGGUCUUAAGUAAGAGUGGAACCGUUCUACCCUUAUGGGUAGCAUGAAGAAUUCCACUCCUAUGCAUUGAAUAUUAAAUGCUUCAGAGCAGAGAUGUUUGAAGCUCUGACCACAGUUGUACCUUCCCUUGAUAUCAUAUGCAAAGUUAAUAUUAGUUUGAGUUAAAAUCAUGUCUGAGCUAAAGGAGUUCGGCAUGUUUGUGAUUAUGGAGUCACUGAAAUGUAUGUAAUCAACUCUUCGUGGGUAUUAAUCAGAGCAUAAAUGUUUGGAUCACUUAUUAAAACUGCUAUUGCAUUAGAAAAAAAGUGUCUGUGGAAAAAUACUUGUUUUGAAAAGAACUACAAAAGUAUUCCAUCAAGUUCUGACUUCAAUACACUGGUAAGGGUGCAAUUCCAGUGAGUGAUGUUGUUGGAGUUGUCCACUCAUCUUUGUAGAGAGGAUGCUUUUUUGAGAGUUGGGACUUUUUUCCUCUCCUAGUCUGUAGGUUUUUCCAAGGUGCCAUGGAAACAAAGGGAUUCUCAUGAUUGUUUUAACUGUACUUCAUAGGAACCAUUUUUGCAGAGAUUAUGCUGAAUUCAGCUUCUCAUAGAAAUCUUGUAGGCGACAUUCCAUGCCACAGAGAGUAAAAACAGUGUGAGUUCAGGCAGCAGUGUCUUAUAGUCAGGUAGGAUAACAGGUGACCUCUUCCUUCCAUCUCUGGCCAGGGGCAUCUUGCAGUGGUUCUUUCAAGUAGAACAUGGCUUGCAGGUGGAACAUGUAUUUGUUUUGUAAAGGUUCCUCUGUUGUGUGAGGAGACUUCAUUGUUUUGCUGCAUAUUGUUGUUCUCUUAAUAAAGGUG